AACGAACGCUGGCGGCAUGCCUAACACAUGCAAGUCGAACGAGACCUUCGGGUCUAGUGGCGCGCGGGUGCGUAACGCGUGGGAAUCUGCCCUUGGGUUCGGAAUAACAGCGAGAAAUUGCUGCUAAUACCGGAUGAUGACGUAAGUCCAAAGAUUUAUCGCCCAAGGAUGAGCCCGCGUAGGAUUAGCUAGUUGGUGAGGUAAAGGCUCACCAAGGCGACGAUCCUUAGCUGGUCUGAGAGGAUGAUCAGCCACACUGGGACUGAGACACGGCCCAGACUCCUACGGGAGGCAGCAGUGGGGAAUAUUGGACAAUGGGCGAAAGCCUGAUCCAGCAAUGCCGCGUGAGUGAUGAAGGCCUUAGGGUUGUAAAGCUCUUUUACCCGGGAUGAUAAUGACAGUACCGGGAGAAUAAGCUCCGGCUAACUCCGUGCCAGCAGCCGCGGUAAU
rnacentral:rRNA from 1 species